GAUGAACGCUGGCGGCGUGCCUAAUACAUGCAAGUCGAGCGAACAGACGAGGAGCUUGCUCCUCUGACGUUAGCGGCGGACGGGUGAGUAACACGUGGAUAACCUACCUAUAAGACUGGGAUAACUUCGGGAAACCGGAGCUAAUACCGGAUAACAUGUUGAACCGCAUGGUUCAACAGUGAAAGACGGUCUUGCUGUCACUUAUAGAUGGAUCCGCGCCGCAUUAGCUAGUUGGUAAGGUAACGGCUUACCAAGGCAACGAUGCGUAGCCGACCUGAGAGGGUGAUCGGCCACACUGGAACUGAGACACGGUCCAGACUCCUACGGGAGGCAGCAGUAGGGAAUCUUCCGCAAUGGGCGAAAGCCUGACGGAGCAACGCCGCGUGAGUGAUGAAGGUCUUCGGAUCGUAAAACUCUGUUAUUAGGGAAGAACAAAUGUGUAAGUAACUAUGCACGUCUUGACAGUACCUAAUCAGAAAGCCACGGCUAACUACGUG
rnacentral:rRNA from 1 species